rnacentral:rRNA from 1 species
ACUGGGACUGAGACACGGCCCAGACUCCUACGGGAGGCAGCAGUGGGGAAUUUUCCGCAAUGGGCGCAAGCCUGACGGAGCAAUACCGCGUGAGGGAGGAAGGCUUUUGGGUUGUAAACCUCUUUUCUCAAGGAAGAAGUACUGACGGUACUUGAGGAAUCAGCAUCGGCUAACUCCGUGCCAGCAGCCGCGGUAAUACGGAGGAUGCAAGCGUUAUCCGGAAUUAUUGGGCGUAAAGCGUCCGCAGGUGGUUAUUCAAGUCUGCUGUCAAAGACCACGGCUUAACUGCGGGAAGGCAGUGGAAACUGGUUAACUAGAGUACGGUAGGGGUAGAGGGAAUUCCCAGUGUAGCGGUGAAAUGCGUAGAGAUUGGAAAGAACACCAGUGGCGAAGGCGCUCUACUGGACCUGAACUGACACUCAGGGACGAAAGCUAGGGGAGCGAAAGGGAUUAGAUACCCCUGUAGUCCUAGCUGUAAACGAUGGAUACUAGGCGUUGCUUGUAUCGACCCGAGCAGUGCCGUAGCUAACGCGUUAAGUAUCCCGCCUGGGGAGUACGCACGCAAGUGUGAAACUCAUAGGAAUUGACGGGGGCCCGCACAAGCGGUGGAGUAUGUGGUUUAAUUCGAUGCAACGCGAAGAACCUUACCAGGACUUGACAUCCC